UGCAGAUGCACCCUCAAUGAACAAGCAGCAAGAUCCAGAAACAAUGUUACCGAGAUCAGUAUAAGGAAUAUCAAGCUGUGAAAAGGAUCCAUGUUCACAGUCCAGAAUUCCCAGAUGUGACCUCCCCUUCUGCCUGUAGCUACAGAUUAUGUUGCAGCCACCAUCUUUUUUAACAAAAUCAUAAGAACUGAUGCCAAAAACCCAUA
rnacentral:misc_RNA from 1 species